CACAGGUCCUGUACCUUCUCCUGCAGCACAGCCUGGAGCCCGACUACUGCAUGGUGGUAGAAAUUACAGCCCAGGAGGCUCCAUAGUGAAGGGUUGUCAGAGGAGGACACGCCUGCCCCAGCACAGCCUGGAGCUUAGUCCUGCACAUGAUCACAUGGUGAAGGAUUGUCAGAGGAGGACACGCUCCAUCCAGGUUCCCACAUUAUAGGAUUCUCUCACUGGAUAUCUUGUAUAUGACAUCAAUCUCCUGAUUGACCCGUCAAGGAUGGAUAGGGACAGGGACAAGAUGGCGGAGAGUAUAAUAAAUCUCACCCUAGAGAUCCUCUUCCGGCUUACUGGAGAGGACUACACAGUAGUGAAGAAGACCUCUAGUGAGCGCUGUCAGGCCCUUGUGUCUGAA